rnacentral:rRNA from 1 species
AUUGAACGCUGGCGGCAGGCCUAACACAUGCAAGUCGAGCGAGCGGCGGACGGGUGAGUAAUUUCUGGGAAACUGCUUGAUGGAGGGGGAUAACUACUGGAAACGGUAGCUAAUACCUCAUACCAUCCGAUGUUCCCAGAUGGGAUGAGCUAGUAGGUGGGGUAACGGCUCACAUAGCCGACGAUCCCUCGCUGGUCUGAGAGGAUGACCAGCCACACUGGAACUGAGACACGGUCCAGACUCCUACGGGAGGCAGCAGUGGGGAAUAUUGCACAAUGGGGGAAAGCCUGAUGCAGCCAUGCCGCGUGUGUGAAGAAGGCCUUCGGGUUGUAAAGCACUUUCAGCGGGGAGGCGUUACCCGCAGAAGAAGCACCGGCUAACUCCGUGCCAGCAGCCGCGGUAAUAC